AGUGAACGCUGGCGGUAGGCCUAACACAUGCAAGUCGAACGGCAGCACAGUAAGAGCUUGCUCUUACGUGUGUCGAGUGGUGGACGGGUGAGGAAUACAUCGGAAUCUACUUUUUCGUGGGGGAUAACGUAGGGAAACUUACGCUAAUACCGCAUACGACCUACGGGUGAAAGCAGGGGAUCUUCGGACCUUGCGCGAUUGAAUGAGCCGAUGUCGGAUUAGCUAGUUGGCGGGGUAAAGGCCCACCAAGGCGACGAUCCGUAGAUGGUCUGAGAGGAUGAUCAGCCACACUGGAACUGAGACACAGUCCAAACUCCUACGGGAGACAGCAGUGAGGAAUAUUAGACAAUGGUCGCAAGCCUAAUCCAGCCAUACCGCGUGGGUGAAGAAGGCCUUCAGUUUGUAAAGCCCUUUUGUUGAGAAAGAAAAGCAGCAGAUUAAUACCCCGCUGUUCUGACAGUACCCAAAGAAUAAGCACCGGCUAACUUCAUG
rnacentral:rRNA from 1 species